rnacentral:rRNA from 1 species
AAAGGAAUUGACGGGGACCCGCACAAGCAGUGGAGUAUGUGGUUUAAUUCGAAGCAACGCGAAGAACCUUACCAGGGCUUGACAUAUAGAUGAAACAUACAGAGAUGUAUGCGUCUUUCGGGACAUCUAUACAGGUGGUGCAUGGUUGUCGUCAGCUCGUGUCGUGAGAUGUUGGGUUAAGUCCCGCAACGAGCGCAACCCCUGUUGUUAGUUGCCAUCAUUAAGUUGGGCACUCUAGCGAGACUGCCGGUGAUAAAUCGGAGGAAGGUGGGGACGACGUCAAAUCAUCAUGCCCUUUAUGUCCUGGGCAACACACGUACUACAAUGGCUGUAACAAAGGGAAGCAAAAGAGCAAUCUGGAGCAAAUCCGAUAAAAACAGUCCCAGUUCGGAUUGUAGGCUGAAACUCGCCUACAUGAAGUUGGAAUUGCUAGUAAUGGCAGGUCAGCAUACUGCCGUGAAUACGUUCCCGGGUCUUGUACACACCGCCCGU